rnacentral:rRNA from 1 species
UACGGAAGGCAGCAGUGGAGAAUAUUGCACAAUGGGCGCAAGCCUGAUGCAGCCAUGCCGCGUGUAUGAAGAAGGCCUUCGGGUUGUAAAGUACUUUCAGUCGUGAGGAAGGUGUUAAGGUUAAUAACCUUAGCAAUUGACGUUAGCGACAGAAGAAGCACCGGCUAACUCCGUGCCAGCAGCCGCGGUAAUACGGAGGGUGCGAGCGUUAAUCGGAAUUACUGGGCGUAAAGGGCACGCAGGCGGUUAAUUAAGUUGGAUGUGAAAUCCCCGGGCUUAACCUGGGAAUGGCAUUCAAGACUGGUUAGCUAGAGUCUUGUAGAGGGGGUAGAAUUCCAUGUGUAGCGGUGAAAUGCGUAGAGAUGUGGAGGAAUACCGGUGGCGAAGGCGGCCCCUGGGACAAAGACUGACGCUCAUGUGCGAAAGCGUGGGGAGCAAACAGGGAUUAGGAUACC